GGCACUGACCCGCCCGUCUGCGCGCUGCUGCUUGGGGCACAGGGCGCCCCGCAGCAGCUGGGUACCACCCACGGGGGCGGGCAGACCCGCCCGGGGAAGGCAGCCCCGCUCCGCCGCAGCCCAAGCCCCGCCCGCCCGAGCCCGGCGUCGGUCACCCGCAGGUGCUCUGCUCGGCUCAGGCUUCCGCUGGGGCUCGGGCACCCGCGGCCGCCGCGACUGCCCCUCGCCGUGCUGAUUGCGGCGGGCGGCGGCCGCGGGUCCGCACCGCCCCGCACAGGCGGGGCAAGAGGCGGCCUGCUCCCGCCCAGGGCCGCCGGGGGAUCUGGCAGCCCCGCCGCACCCACGGCGGGUACGGGAGUGCGGGUAGCGGUAAGGGAGCGGCGGCCGGGGCUGCGCGUUUCCCUGCGUCUUGGGUUGCCGGUUCACGAAGGUGCAGAACAAUAUAAAAACGUACAUGGAAACUGCUUUGACCAUCCACCUAGAGCCACGACAUACAGAAGAAUUUAUCAAAAUGCAGGUUUGUGGUCUGUAUCCACAUACGCAAAGCACAGGUGGAGGAGCAGCCUCUCAAAUAUCCAACUGUGCUGCUACUGAGCAAUGGCAGGGGUUAGAGUAUUUCUCUUGCUGUUUUACAUCCUAGACUUGGUAUGAGCAAGCACAGAUGUGUCUUUUGUGCAGGAAAGGAAAGGAAGAGAGAGCCAAAUGAAAAAUCCUGAAUGACAGCAUCUCCAAGUAUCACAGCAGUACCUUCUAAAGCUGGAAGAUAAAGCUGAUGAGGUGGUUACCAUGGCUACGGAAGCGGCAUAUUUGAAUGAAAAUUGAUUUUAAGCUUUUAAAUGCUAAUUGCAUCUGUGAACAGGUGACAUUUGAAAUAUCUUUUUCUUUUUUUUCCCCUCAUGUUUUGCAAUGUAUAAUGGGUGGAAGAAGAGGGUGACAGAGGUGACAGUAUAGAGGUAAAUUAAAACACUGAUACGGUCUUCAUCACUGAAGUAUAUCACACCAUUUACUUGUAUAGUAAUAACAGUAAUAAGCAAACAUGUAUACAGAACACAGUGCCUGAGGGGCAGAAACUGUGUGUAUAACCCAAGUAGUAUACUUUUGAUGACUAUAUUGUGAAAAAUUAAACAGCCUUAUUUAAAUUAAUCACCUCAACAACUGUUUCCAGUAGCAAUUAAUAAAGAGGCUAUUAAAACUUUGCA
rnacentral:lncRNA from 1 species